UACGAAGGGGGCUAGCGUUGCUCGGAAUUACUGGGCGUAAAGCGCACGUAGGCGGAUUGUUAAGUCAGGGGUGAAAUCCUGGAGCUCAACUCCAGAACUGCCUUUGAUACUGAGGAUCUUGAGUUCGGGAGAGGUGAGUGGAACUGCGAGUGUAGAGGUGAAAUUCGUAGAUAUUCGCAAGAACACCAGUGGCGAAGGCGGCUCACUGGCCCGAUACGUGACGCUGAGGCACGAAGCG
rnacentral:rRNA from 1 species